UAGUGGCGGACGGGUGCGUAACGCGUGGGUAAUCUGCCUUUGUCAAAGGAAUAACUAUUCGAAAGAAUAGCUAAAACCGUAUAACAUAUUAAUAGGGCAUCCUAAUAAUAUCAAAACUGAGGUGGACAAAGAUGAGCCCGCGUCUGAUUAGCUAGUUGGUGAGAUAAAAGCCCACCAAGGCAACGAUCAGUAGCCGACCUGAGAGGGUGAACGGCCACAUUGGAACUGAGACACGGUCCAAACUCCUACGGGAGGCAGCAGUGGGGAAUAUUGCACAAUGGGGGGAACCCUGAUGCAGCAACGCCGCGUGAGUGAAGAAGGC
rnacentral:rRNA from 1 species